AUUGAACGCUGGCGGUAGGCCUAACACAUGCAAGUCGAACGAGUGGCGGACGGGUGAGUAAUGUCUGGGAAACUGCCUGAUGGCGGGGGAUAACCACUGGAAAGGGUAGCUAAUACCGCAUACCAGCAGAUGUGCCCAGAUGGGAUUAGAGAGUUGGUGGGGUAACGGCUCACCAAGGCGACGACCCCUAGCUGGUGAGAGAGGAUGACCAGCCACACUGGAACUGUGACACGGUCCAGACUCCUACGGAAGGCAGCAGUGGGGAAUAUUGCACAAUGGGCACAAGCCUGAUGCAGCCAUGCCGCGUGUAUGAAGAAGGCCUUCGGGUUGUAAAGUACUUUCAGCGGGGAGGCGUUACCCGCAGAAGAAGCACCGGCUAACUCCGUGCCAGCAGCCGCGGUAAUUC
rnacentral:rRNA from 1 species